rnacentral:lncRNA from 1 species
UUCUCUUUUUUUUCUCGCUCUUUCUCUCUCUUUCGUCUUCUAUUAUUUUAACUUAAUAAUAAUAAAACAGGUAAAAAGGUAUCUUCUUCGUAGUAAUAAUAGUCAAACCCAAAAUAAGUAAACUGCUUAUUAGCUAAUUUUAUCUCUCUCGGAUCAUUCUGCAUUGUAAUUAGAAUUCACAUAAAGUAGUACAUCCUUAUUAACUGUAUUACUCUUCCCAUUCAAUGACCACAUUAUGAAAACAACAUGGUGUAACGGAGACGUCGGUUAACUAAAAAGAAAGUUUUAUGAAACGACCGAGUAUCGAACCUACGCACAUCGAGUCACAAGAAAUAUUGAGCUGCGUCGUUCCAUGGUAAUAUUGAAAUUGUUUCGUAUUAUCUCAUCCGUUCCACAUAAAUAAAUAAUUGUCAAUUGUUUUGAUCUCAUCUUUUCCCAAGAUUUUUGAUAUCUUUUUAUGCAUCUUUUGAGAUAUUUUAAGAUAUUUCAAAAAAGUAUGAUGUGAGAAUGUUCAAUUAUAAAAGGAUGUUGCAAUACCUAUCAAUAUUAUGUAACAAGCCAAAGUAUACUCAUGUGUUUCAAAAAUGGAUAUGAAGACAUAUUAUAUAAAUUGUGAGCCAUAAGACGUAAUAAAUACAAGUUUAUAUCCCCAUAA